CUGUAUCUUGCAGGAAAUGUCUAGCUGAUGGAAGCCUUCUCAGUGAGGCAGUGGUGGAUUCUGAGAAUGUUGUAGCUGCCGUAAAUGUAAGUACUUGGAGCACCAAAUGAGAAUAUUUGGCUGCUAUAUAAUUAACACAACAACUUCCUGUAUUUGGAGCACUGCAACAUCCUAGAACUCUUUCAAUGAGGAAGCCCCAUUACUGUUCUUUAGGCCAUGGAGAGUGCCAAUGUUAUGAAGUGAAGCCUAAUUUUUAAGACAAAAUCUAAGAAGAGCAGGAGAUCAGUGAAUUAGAACUUGACUUGGAUUUUUUUUUCUGUUCUCCUAUUUUGUAGAUACAAUUAGCAUUAUCAUACCCAUUUAGAUUGCUAUGAGAUUAUAACAACUAUCUAUUAUGAUUAAUUUACUGUUCUUUUGGUCA